GGUCAAGCGAAUAAGUGCAUGUGGUGGAUGCCUUGGCGAUCACAGGCGAUGAAGGACGUAGUAGCUUGCGAAAAGCUGCGGGGAGCUGGCAAACGAGCUUUGAUCCGCAGAUGUCCGAAUGGGGAAACCCGGCCCGUAUGGGUCAUCCCUUGCUGAAUACAUAGGCAAGGGAGGCGAACGCAGUGAACUGAAACAUCUAAGUAGCUGCAGGAAAAGAAAUCAACCGAGAUUCCCAAAGUAGUGGCGAGCGAAAUGGGAACAGCCUUGUACUCUUUAGCAGUAUUGUUAGCGGAACGGAAUGGAAAGUCCGGCCAUAGUGGGUGAUAGCCCCGUACGCGAAAACAGUAUUGUGGAACUAGGUGUACGACAAGUAGGGCGGGACACGUGAAAUCCUGUCUGAAGAUGGGGGGACCAUCCUCCAAGGCUAAAUACUCGUGAUCGACCGAUAGUGAACCAGUACCGUGAGGGAAAGGCGAAAAGAACCCCGGGAGGGGAGUGAAAUAGAUCCUGAAACCGCAUGCAUACAAACAGUCGGAGCCUGGAAACGGGUGACGGCGUACCUUUUGUAUAAUGGGUCAGCGACUUACAUUCAGUGGCAAGCUUAACCGAUUAGGGAAGGCGUAGCGAAAGCGAGUCCGAAUAGGGCGUUCAGUCGCUGGGUGUAGACCCGAAACCAAGUGAUCUAUCCAUGGCCAGGUUGAAGGUGCGGUAACACGUACUGGAGGACCGAACCCACUAACGUUGAAAAGUUAGGGGAUGAGCUGUGGAUAGGGGUGAAAGGCUAAACAAACUUGGAAAUAGCUGGUUCUCUCCGAAAACUAUUUAGGUAGUGCCUCGUGUCUCACCUUCGGGGUAGAGCACUGUCAUGGUUGGGGGGUCUAUUGCUGAUUACCCCGCCAUAGCAAACUCCGAAUACCGAAGAGUGCAAUCACGGGAGACAGACAUCGGGUGCUAACGUCCGGUGUCAAGAGGGAAACAACCCAGACCGCCAGCUAAGGUCCCUAAGAUUGGCUAAGUGGGAAACGAAGUGGGAAGGCUAAAACAGUCAGGAGGUUGGCUUAGAAGCAGCCACCCUUUAAAGAAAGCGUAAUAGCUCACUGAUCGAGUCGUCCUGCGCGGAAGAUGUAACGGGGCUAAGCCAGUCACCGAAGCUGCGGAUGCACGUAAGUGCAUGGUAGGAGAGCGUUCUGUAAGCCUGUGAAGGUGUCUUGUAAAGGAUGCUGGAGGUAUCAGAAGUGCGAAUGCUGACAUGAGUAGCGAUAAAGGGGGUGAAAGGCCCCCUCGCCGUAAGCCCAAGGUUUCCUACGCAACGUUCAUCGGCGUAGGGUGAGUCGGCCCCUAAGGCGAGGCAGAGAUGCGUAGCUGAUGGGAAGCAGGUUAAUAUUCCUGCACCGUCGUAUGAUGCGAUGGGGGGACGGAUCGCGGAAGGUUGUCCGGGUGUUGGAAGUCCCGGUCCCUACAUUGGAGAUGGCACUUAGGCAAAUCCGGGUGCGUGAUUCAAGGGUGUGGGGCGAGCGACGUUAGGUCGCGAAGCAAUUGGAAGUGGUUCCAAGAAAAGCCUCUAAGCUUCAGUCAUACGAGACCGUACCGCAAACCGACACAGGUGGGCGAGAUGAGUAUUCUAAGGCGCUUGAGAGAACUCGGGAGAAGGAACUCGGCAAAUUGGUACCGUAACUUCGGGAUAAGGUACGCCCUUGUAGUUUGACUGGCUCGCGCCAGAAGGAUGAAGGGGUUGCAAUAAAAUGGUGGCUGCGACUGUUUAAUAAAAACACAGCACUCUGCAAACACGAAAGUGGACGUAUAGGGUGUGACGCCUGCCCGGUGCCGGAAGAUUAAAUGAUGGGGUGCAAGCUCUUGAUUGAAGUCCCGGUAAACGGCGGCCGUAACUAUAACGGUCCUAAGGUAGCGAAAUUCCUUGUCGGGUAAGUUCCGACCUGCACGAAUGGCGUAACGAUGGCCACACUGUCUCCUCCCGAGACUCAGCGAAGUUGAAGUGUUUGUGAUGAUGCAAUCUCCCCGCGGCUAGACGGAAAGACCCCAUGAACCUUUACUGUAGCUUUGCAUUGGACUUUGAACCGAUCUGUGUAGGAUAGGUGGGAGGCUUUGAAACCGGGACGCUAGUUUCGGUGGAGCCGACCUUGAAAUACCACCCUGGUUUGUUUGAGGUUCUAACCUUGGCCCGUGAAUCCGGGUCGGGGACAGUGCAUGGUAGGCAGUUUGACUGGGGCGGUCUCCUCCCAAAGUGUAACGGAGGAGUUCGAAGGUACGCUUGGUACGGUCGGACAUCGUACCUAAAGUGCAAUGGCAAAAGCGUGCUUAACUGCGAGACCGACAAGUCGAGCAGGUGCGAAAGCAGGACAUAGUGAUCCGGUGGUUCUGUAUGGAAGGGCCAUCGCUCAACGGAUAAAAGGUACUCUGGGGAUAACAGGCUGAUACCGCCCAAGAGUUCAUAUCGACGGCGGUGUUUGGCACCUCGAUGUCGGCUCAUCUCAUCCUGGGGCUGUAGCCGGUCCCAAGGGUAUGGCUGUUCGCCAUUUAAAGAGGUACGUGAGCUGGGUUUAAAACGUCGUGAGACAGUUUGGUCCCUAUCUGCCGUGGGCGUUGGAAUCUUGACGGGGGCUGCUCCUAGUACGAGAGGACCGGAGUGGACGUACCGCUGGUGUACCUGUUGUCUCGCCAGAGGCAUCGCAGGGUAGCUAUGUACGGAAGAGAUAACCGCUGAAAGCAUCUAAGCGGGAAACUCGCCUGAAGAUGAGGAUUCCCUGGAGACUUGAUCUCCCUGAAGGGUCGUUCGAGACCAGGACGUUGAUAGGCUGGGUGUGGAAGCGCAGUAAUGCGUUCAGCUAACCAGUACUAAUUGCCCGUGCGGCUUGAUCCU
rnacentral:rRNA from 1 species